rnacentral:rRNA from 1 species
UUCGUCGGGCAGCAGUCUCGUGUAACUCGAGCGAUUAAGGGAGCUUGCUCCUGGAUUCUGCGGCGGACGGGUGAGUAAUGCCUAGGAAUCUGCCUGGUAGUGCGGGAUAACGUCCGGAAACGGGCGCUAAUACCGCAUACGUCCUGAGGGAGAGAGUGGGGGAUCUUCGGACCUCACGCUAUCACAUGAGCCAAGCACGAAUUAACUAGUUGGUGGGGUAAAGGCCUACCAAGGCGACGAUCCGUAACUGGUCUGAGAGGAUGAUCAGUCACACUGGAACUGAGACACGGUCCAGACUCCUACGGGAGGCAGCAGUGGGGAAUAUUGGACAAUGGGCGAAAGCCUGAUCCAGCCAUGCCGCGUGUGUGAAGAAGGUCUUCGGAUUGUAAAGCACUUUAAGUUGGGAGGAAGGGCAGUAAGUUAAUACCUUGCUGUUUUGACGUUACCAACAGAAUAAGCACCGGCUAACUUCGUGCCAGCAGCCGCGGUAAUACGAAGGGUGCAAGCGUUAAUCGGAAUUACUGGGCGUAAAGCGCGCGUAGGUGGUUCAGCAAGUUGGAUGUGAAAUCCCCGGGCUCAACCUGGGAACUGCAUCCAAAACUACUGAGCUAGAGUACGGUAGAGGGUGGUGGAAUUUCCUGUGUAGCGGUGAAAUGCGUAGAUAUAGGAAGGAACACCAGUGGCGAAGGCGACCACCUGGACUGAUACUGACACUGAGGUGCGAAAGCGUGGGAGCAAACAGGAUUAGAUACCCUGUAGUCCACGCCGUAAACGAUGUCGACUAGCCGUUGGGAUCCUUGAGAUCUUAGUGGCGCAGCUAACGCGAUAAGUCGACCGCCUUGGGGAGUACGGCCGCAAGGUUUAAAACUCAAAUGAAUUGACGGGGCCCGGCACAAGGCGGUGGAGCAUGUGUUUAAUUCGAAGCAACGCGAAGAACCUUACUUGGCCUUGAAAUGCUGAAACUUUCAAGAAGAUGAUUGGUGCCUUCGGAACUCAGACCAGGUGCUGCAUGGCUGUCGUCAGCUCGGUGUCGUGAAUGUCGAUAAGUCCGUAACGAGCGCUACCUUGUCUAGUACAGCACCUCGGUGAACUCUAGGGAACUGCGGUACAACGGAGGAGGUGUAUGACGUCAGUCUAUCUGUCCUAACGCUCAGGCUACACGUUCAAUGACGUAAAGGUUGCAGCCCGAAAGUGGGACCAUAAAU